CUCCACCAAGGGACCACAUUGAAGAGAUCACCACAGGCUCUGAUGGCACAUCAGACUCCAGCUCUCCAACAGCAUGUGCACUGCUGAAUGCCUGUAACCACACAGAAGUGACAAGCAACCCUCAUUUCUAAGGAAUGGAAGGCUCUGUUUUGAAGAUUUCCCUAGAUUGAUGUACUGCAAGAUGUUAAGGAAAACAGCUGUGCAACACACAUGUCCUGCAAAAAUCCAGGAGCAGUGUAGCUUGCUGAUGGCAGCUUGCAUAGGAACAGGAGGAAGGACAGAAGGCAGAUGCUCACUCUGCUGAAAUCAGACUGAUUUGACCUUUCCAAAAUUAGUGAAUUUCUUUCACUCAUUCAGAAGAAAGACUUGAUACUGCAGCAGACCUUCUGUCCUCUUAAAGUCUAGUGUGUGUCAUUUUAUUACAUAGUUUUGGGGUUUUUUACUGGAGCUGGAAGAUACAGAAUGUUUUCUAGCUUAGCUCUUUCCAAGUAGAGCUGGUAGGCGUACCGUUAAUAAGGAGCAAUGGAGUUGCUGAAGGAGUAUUGGGCUUUGUUGUUUAUUUUUGCAAUUGGUUUUGCCUCACACUAUUAUAAAAAAAAAUUAGGACACUCAAACAUGUUCCAUUAGUUAAGGUUCUAGCCAUGAAAUUUUUUGCAAAACUUAAAAUGACAUUUUAAAUUUGAAUGCCAUGUCAGUGUCUGGUAACAUGAAUGUUUGCUUCAGGUACUCAAACAUGUCACUGUCUCGUUUUUCAGCUGGACCCCCUGAAUGGCAGGCAAUGACAGUGCAGUAACAAUUUAAGGUACUGGUUUAUCUGGAGCUGAGCCACAUACAGUCUUACACUGCAGGUCUUAACCAUUACUUCCCUUUUAACCAUCAGUCAUGUGAUCCUAAGCACUUGCACCAAAUGCACCCAGAUGUUGGCACCUCUGUGUUCAAGGUACAGCACCAAGCACUUGAUCAGCAGCUCGGUCUCUAAGUACUUGUAAAACACUGCCUAAAGGUACUUAAAUUCCAUGUCACAUUAUUUUCAAUAAAUUUAUUUCAAUGAAGGUUGAAAUCCUAUGA
rnacentral:lncRNA from 1 species